rnacentral:lncRNA from 1 species
GUCAAGUUGAAGAAGAUGCUGAGGACAGAGAAGACACCGUUUCAGAAGGAAAUCCAGAGCCACAGAACCAUGUUAUAGGGCAGAACUUAAUCCAAAGUGCAAAUUCCUCUGAUACCCCAGCUAUGAAAUCAGGUGCAGUUUUCUCUAGCAGCCAAGGACGGGUAAACCCCUUCAAGGUACUAGUCAGUUCCAAAGAACCAGCCGUCUCAGUGAAUGCAACACGCUCAGCUAAUAUUUUAGACAAUAUGAACAAAUUAUCCAGGAAGUCCACUUCUUUUAAUCGAGUAGCAAAUAAUGAAAAGUCUCCAGUUAUAAAGCCUCUCAUUCCCAAGCCAAGGUGUAAGCAGGCGUCUGCAGCAUCCUAUUUCCAGAAAAGAACCUCACAGGCCGAGAAGACUGAAGAAGUAAAAGAAAAUCCUAAAAGUUCGUCAUCUGAAGCUCCAGCCGUGUGCCUUCAAAACUCAGAAGUCCAAAGGCCGAAGACCGGGUUCCAGAUGUGGCUGGAGGAAAAUAGAAGUCAUAUUAUGUCCGACAACCCUGACAUUUCAGAUGAAGCAGAUAUAAUAAAAGAGGGGAUGAUCCGAUUUAGAGUACUGUCCGCCGAAGAAAGGAAGGAAUGGACUAACAAGGCCAAGGGAGGAACUGCCAGCGAUGGAGCUGAGGCAAAGAAGCGAAAACGUGGGGUCAGUGAGAUCUGUGAGACGGAGAAGCAGGAAG